rnacentral:rRNA from 1 species
GAUGAACGCUAGCGGGAGGCUUAACACAUGCAAGUCGAGGGGCAGCAUAGGGUAGCAAUACUCUGAUGGCGACCGGCAAACGGGUGAGUAACGCGUAUGCAACCUACCCUGUACAGGGGGAUAACCCGGAGAAAUUCGGACUAAUAUCCCGUAAUAAUAUCCGGAGGCAUCUUUGGAUAUUUAAAGUUCCGACGGUACGGGAUGGGCAUGCGUAACAUUAGCUGGUUGGUAAGGUAACGGCUUACCAAGGCUAUGAUGUUUAGGGGUCCUGAGAGGGUGGUCCCCCACACUGGUACUGAGACACGGACCAGACUCCUACGGGAGGCAGCAGUGAGGAAUAUUGGUCAAUGGGCGCAAGCCUGAACCAGCCAUCCCGCGUGCAGGAAGACGGCCCUAUGGGUUGUAAACUGCUUUUCCAGGGAGAGAAACUUACGCACGUGUUGCGUGACUGACGGUACCCUGGGAAUAAGCAUCGGCUAACUCCGUGCCAGCAGCCGCGGUAACUAGUCUACG